rnacentral:rRNA from 2 species
GCGAGAAAACUUUGCAAUGUGCGAAAGCACGACAAGGUUAAUCCGAGUGGUUUCUGCUAAAGGAACCUUUUGACAGUCCUAGAAACACUGUUGAAUAAGGGGUGGGCAAGUUCUGGUGUCAGCCGCCGCGGUAAAACCAGCACCUCAAGUUGUCAGGAUGAUUAUUGGGCCUAAAGCAUCCGUAGCCGGCUCUGUUAGUUUUGGUUAAAUCUGUACGACUUAACGGUACAGGCUGCCGGGAAUACUGCAGAGCUAGGGAGUGGGAGAGGUAGACGGUACUCGGUAGGAAGGGGUAAAAUCC